AGCCUAAAGUAGUAAAUUAUAGGUUAAGCCUGCCCGGUGUAAUUAUAUAAACGGCCGCGGUACUUUGACCGUGCUAAGGUAGCGCAAUCAAUUGGCUUUUAAUUGUAGUCAUGUAUGAAUGGAUUAACAGGGUUUAGCUGUCUCUUAUCCAUUUUAUUAAAAUUACUAUAUAGGUGAAAAAGCCUAAAUAUUCAAAAAAGACGAGAAGACCCUUAGAGUUUAUCUGAAUUUAGUUUAUUAUUAAAUUUGUUUAGUUGGGGCAACAAAGGAAAAUAAACAUCCUUUUUAUAUAAAUCGGUUAUUACAGUUAAGUUAAAACUACCUUAGGGAUAACAGCAUAAUUUUAUAAGUAAGUUUGUGACCUCGAUGUUGGACUAGGAAAUUUAAUGGUUAGAUGUUAUUAAAUUUGGUUCUGUUCGAACUUGAUUUCCU
rnacentral:rRNA from 1 species